UGUCUAUGGUUUAAAAUCUAUUGUUUUUACAUCAAGGACUUCUGCUUAAAUUUUGCAGUUUUUUACGGCAUAUGACAAAAAGACUGCUUAUAUAUUUACCGCUGGCAUUAACUGAGACGGCAGAUCUUGCAUGGCUAAUGCCGGAGUUCUGCCGACGUAAUAUGUAGCGCAUAAUUUGCAAUACAUGAUCUUAGCAGACUUGGUUUUCUAAGUAUAUAUAUAAAUUUAUAAUGAAGAAAGUGGAACUCAUGGUAUUUCGUUUGAUCAAAAAAUACUGACUUAAAAGAUAGUAAAAAAUUUCCUAUUGAUUAUGGAUGGGUUGAUGUCUCAUCAUUGAAAAGUUUGCUGACUAAAAUAAUUUAAUGAUCACCUAAUUAUAUUGACAAUUCUUAGAAAACAUUAUUUAUAGUUUUGGCUAAAAAAGAUUUGAUAAAAAUCGAAAUUUUAUUACAAAAAGUGUAUUUUAUUAUUCCUGGAAAUGAUGUAUUGUAUUGUAUCAUACAAACAUCAGUAUUUGAAAGUUUUAUAUUGGCCUAAAAUUUCUCAAUUAAAAAAAAUUCUAUUGUUACUUUAAAACAUAUAACAUAUAUAUGUGUCUAUAUAAAUUUCGAAAAACUUUAAAUAUAUUUUUAUAUAAUAUAGAUUUAUAUAAUUAAUAAAAAGUAUUAUACCAACUUGUAUAUGAAAAUAAUAUAAGAACAUCUAUCACAGUGAUUGUUUUGGUAAUUAUACUUUGUAAUUAAUCUCAAUAAUUAUGUGAUUAUAUAAAUUUUUUUCAAUUACCU